AGAGUUUGAUCCUGGGUCAGAAGGAAUGCUAGCUACAUGCAUAACACAUGCAAGUCGAACGUUGUUCUCGGGGAGCUGGGCAGAAGGAAAAGAGGCUCCUAGCUAAAGGUAGCUUGGCUCGCCCAGGAGGUGAUAAGAGUUGAGAACAAAGUGGCAAACGGGCGCGUAACGCGUGGGAAUCUGCCGAACUGUUCAGGCAAAAUCCUGAAGAAAGCUAAAAAGGUUGUUUGAUGAGCCUGCUUAGUAUUAGGUAGUUGGUCAGGUAAAGGCUCACCAAGCCAAUGACGCUUCGCUGGCCUUUGUGGAUGAUCAGCCACACUGGGACUGAGACACGGCCUUGACUCCCACGGGGGGCAGUAGUGGGGGGAAUCUGGGACAAUGGGUGACAGACCUAUCAAGCAAUAUCGCGUGAGUUAAAAAGGGCAAUGCCUCUUGUAAAUCUCUUUCGUCGAGUGCGCGAUCAUGACAGUACUCAAGGAAGAAGCCCCGGCUAACUCCGUGCCAGCAGCCGCGAUAAGACAGGAGGGGGGUGGGGGCAAGUGUUCUUCGGAAUGACUGGGCGUAAAAGGCACGUAGCGGUGAAUAUGUGCUUCAUGGCUAUCGUCAACUCGUGUCGGGAGAUGUUUGGUCAUGUCCUACAAUGAGCGAAACCCUCGUUUUGUGAUGUUGAGAUAUGCGCCCACGGAGAAAGUCUUUGCAACCAAAGUGAGCCGAGGAGCCGAGUGACGUGCCAGUGCUACUAAUUGAGUGCCAGCACCUAGUUGUGCUGUCAGUAAGAAGGUAGCCGGCGCCUUUCGAAGAACAUUCUAUUUCUAGUUAGCGCUGUUUUUUGAUUGCAAGUAGCGUGCUUGACUAAUAAGAUAGAAAGGGCCUUUCUCACUUGUUUAGUAAAGUCAAGUUUUUUGGCCUUAUCUUGCAGGUGAUGACUACGUCGAGUUGACGGCAGAGAAAGACUCGGCAUUCAGUAGAGACACCCGGUAUUGUGGUACGUAGUGGGUUUAGUACGCCCCUCCCAAACAAACGGAUUUGAAACAAACAAAAAGGUGUGUGCUGCACUAACGAAGGACUGCCAGUGAUAUACUGAAGGACGGUGGGGAUGACGUCAAGUGUGCAUGGACCUUAUGGGCUGGGCCACACACGUGUUACAUUGGCAAUUACAAUGGGAAGCAAGGUUGUAAGGCGGAGCAAAUCCGGAAAUAUUGCUUCAGUUAGGAUUGUUCUCUGCAACUCGGGAACAUGAAGUUUGAAUUGCUAGUAAUUGCGGAUCAGCAUGCCGCGGUGAAUAUGUGCCAGGGCCCUGUACACACUGCCUAUCACACCCUGGGAAUUGGUUUUGUCCGAAGCAUCGGACCAAUGAUCACCCAUGAUUUCUGUGGCACGCUAGUGCCACAAAGGCCUUUGGUAGUCUUAUUGGCGCAUACCAUGGUGGGGUCUUCGACUGGGGUGAAGUCAUAACAAGGUAGCCGUAGGGGAACCUGUGGAUG
rnacentral:rRNA from 1 species